ACGUAGGGGGCAAGCGUUAUCCGGAUUUACUGGGUGUAAAGGGAGCGUAGACGGCCUGGCAAGUCUGAUGUGAAAUCCCGGGGCUCAACCGCGGGACUGCAUUGGAAACUGCUGAGCUUGAGUGCUGGAGGGGUAAGCGGAAUUCCUGGUGUAGCGGUGAAAUGCGUAGAUAUCAGGAGGAACACCGGUGGCGAAGGCGGCUUACUGGACAGCAACUGACGUUGAGGCUCGAAAGCGUGGGGAGCAAACAG
rnacentral:rRNA from 1 species